UUGAGUGGCAAGGUAUUAUCAUGGCGUCCGUAGGCUGCUUAUAUUUCACUUUGUUGAUUUGACAAAUGUGGCAUGAACGAACGUAUCGAUUGACGUCGUCUUUCAUGUGAGACCACGUAAAUCUCUUGACUAGCUUGUUGUAGGUGCGCCAAAAUCCGUCGUGUCCUCCAGAUUCUGGGCUAUCGUGGUACAAAUAAAGCACCCUGGAAACCAGCGUUGGCGGGACUUGAUAGCGACCUUCCCUAAAAAUCAAUUGUUCAGUGCCUUCCCACAAUUUAAUUUCAUUGAUUUCUGCCGAUUGUUCGUUGUUGGCCUGUAUCAUCAGUCUACACAAUGCAUCUGCAUCAGUCAAAAGGGGUCCAGCUCUGUGGGAGAUGGUGAAAUCGAACUGCUGCAAAUAGUUCACCCAUCUGGCGAUACGUCCCUUAGGUUGGGUCAUAUUCAAGAGAUGAGUGAGGGCUUGGUGAUCGGUGAACAAAGUAAACUUCGCACCUUCUAGGUACGUACGGAAGUACUGAAUUGCUUUGAGGACUGCAAGAGCUUCCUUUUCAGUAGUGGUGUAGUUGACUUCAGGUGGCUUGAGGGUGUAGCUGUAGUAACCUACUACGUGUCGCUUUUCUCGGCCGGAUGCUUCUGGACAUUUCUGGUACAAGACUGCACCUGUCCCAUAGUGUGAGGCGUCGGUAUUCAGUUCAAAAGGGUAAAGUGAAAUCUGGUAUGCGUAGAAUAGGGUCAGCAGAUAUUCUGUGCACCAGAUCACGGUAGACUCUCUCACAUUCCUCAUUCCACUCAAAUGGAACUUCUUUCUGUGUUAGGCGCGUGAGGCAUCUUGUUUUGAUGGCAAAGUCUUUUAUGAAGGGCCUGAAAUGUCCUGCUAAUCCCAAAAAUACACGCAAUGAGUGUACGUCAUAUGGUUUUACCAGUUGGGAUAUCCUCUCGACGGACUCUUGUUUCGUGCUUUUGGUAGUCCCAUCAAAGACUCUUCCAAGAAACACCACUUUUCUUUGAAAGAACGCACUUUUCUUAAAAUUAACCUUGAGGUGUGCCAAGCUCAAGGCAUUUAAUACCUGGGACAGGUGUGCCUGAUGCUCCGUCUCUGUUUUGGAGAAGACGAUAAUAUCGUCUAUGUACACGUUACAAAAGACACCUAGGAAAGGCUUCAGGACUUCGUUCAUAAUCUUCUGGAACCAUGCUGGUGAGUUUUUCCAGCCGAAAGGAAGCCGGUUAUACUCGUACAGGUCGAAGGGCGUGAUAAAAGCAGUGUACAUUUUUGUUUCUUCGGUUAGCGGGAUCUGCCAGAAACCUUUGCACAAGUCAAUACGUGAAAAACAUCGGCAACCACCUGUCUCAUCUAUAAUCGUGUCUAUCUUCGGCAUGGGAAAUGGUAUAAGUUCUGUCUGUCGGUUGAGAACCCUGUAAUCUGUGCGCAGUCUGAAAGUUCCAUCUUCUUUCGGCGCAAUAGUUAUGGGAGAGGCGAAGGGUGACACCGAAGGCCGGAUUAUAUUGGCGUCUAGCAUCUCCUGCAAUUCCUUCUUCAACCAUAUCUUGCGCUCUCUUGACAUGUUGUAAGGUGAUUUUCGGAUGACGGUCUUGUCGGUGAGUUCGAAAGGCACCUUGUGUGACGUCAUCGCCGGUGGAUAGCUUCCUAUGCAUACUAGUUCAGGAUAGGUCGUUGCAAUAUCCUCCGCGCAAUUGACAACUCGCAGGUUAUCCUUUCUAUCCGGCUGUGUCUCUUGCCUUGAUAGUCCUUCCACUAAAACCGCAUCGUCCCAGUAUACGUUGAUUUUUAGUUUCUUUAUAUCUGGUCUGGAUAGCAGAAAGUCAUACGUCACCCCCUCAAUCACCAGUACUUCACUCGCUAUUUCAUGACCUUGGAACUCUAUGUUUACUGAGGCCCACUGAUUUUGCAUUGUCACUUUUCCAUCGUAGCCUUGCACCCGCAGUACUCUUCCACUAUGCAGGUGACUUGCAUCUACCAGCUUGGCAUUUAUUAUAGACACAGAAGCACCGCUGUCAACCAAAGCCAUCAUGUGUCUGUUUCCCACUUUCACAGGGAUGUGAAGUAGGCUAGAGCAAGUUAAAUAAACAGUCUCAGUUGUGGUCAUCGGGUCGGACUGAUCACCCUUGUUUAUCAGUUUUUUGUCGUCGGAGCCUCUUCAGCGUCCGAAAGUAGGGGAACAGGGUCGCUGUCGAUGUUAUGCACCCGACCUCUGGGAGCGCGCCAACCCAAGCUCUCUGUGCCGCCUGCAAGGCGGCGCGGUUCUCGCUGAUUACGGCUUGACCAAUCCGUGCCGGACCGUGUGAAGUGACCGCUUGAGCUAGCGUUUAUAUUUUCUUCUGAAGUAAAUGAUAUGUCGUGAAGGCACUACAGGAGCCCGUCCAUAGUUUUAGGUGACCGUAGUUGCACUUGCUUCAGGACUUGCGCGUGCAGUCCGUGAAUUAUUAGUGCUACUACGGCAGACGGAGGAAGCAUAGGCUCGGCCAGCUUUAAAAGGCGGCAUUUGUCAAAGAAAUACUCUACGAGGGAGCCUUGCUUGAAUUUGAAAUUAAGCGCGGCGUCCCACCUUUGCACUGGGUUGCUUCGGAAUGUCGUCAAGAAUUUUUCUUUCCACUGAUUCCAAGAGUUGCCAGCCUCUUCAAUAAUGUGCAAAUCAUACCACUUCCGUGCAACACCGCUUAAGUAACUACGCAUGUUAGUAAUCUUGUCCUCAUUAGAGUGCCAGUUGUUCUUUCCAGCGGCAUAUUCAUAGAAUUCAAGCCAACCUUCUGGACUUGAUGACAUGCCGUCGAAUGCAUCAGGUUCUACAAAUUUAGUCACUGGCUUCUCAGCGUUUAAAGAGCUUAUAAGCGAUGUCACCAGCUGGUUUUGUUGCGAAAUCUGUUCUUGUUGUAGCCGAAGUGCUUUCAAAACGAGGCUCACCUCUUCCGUCGACGACUGUGAUCCAGAGUCCUUCCGACGCAUCGGUUGAAGAACUAAUUCGUCGAAGAUCACCAGAGGCAAGUUCACGUUCACAGCACCCUUCCGACGUAGUUCAUCAGGGUCCAUGGAAGCCUUCUCUAAAACCAGGUUCAUGAGUUCUGCCGAGUUGAGUUCGCGAGGUAGUUCCACCGCUGGUUCAUCUUCAGCUUGGUAUCUCGAAAAGAUGAUCUUGUCCACGGAGGUCUCCUCAAGGAAAAAUCUCACCCACAUGUUGGAGUUCGCUGUCGGCUGCGCCAAAAUAAUGUAGCGUCCCUACUUAAAGGACACAGUAAACGUGAAGCAUUGCUGUGGAACUGGCGUCCAUCUUGUCUACCUUUUAUUCUCACUUCCUUCUUCUCUUCUCCUGAACCCAGACUCCUGCGCUUCUUCAUCUUCUAUUCCAAGGCUCAUACCGCUUCAUGCUAUGUACGUAAAUUUUACAACGCUACUCAUUCGAAGUGCAUACAGGUGCAUACUGAAGAAAAGUUUUCCAGGGUACAUAAUUUAGUGCGUAAUUUACACUAAUUUUGCUCUAACCACAAGACAUAAUAAUUUGAAUAUACUGCACGGAAAAACCUAGAGCGAAUUAAAUUGUGUGUCAGCUUCGUGUGUAUAGAUAUAGUCUUUCCUAUGCAUUAGGUUUUUCACGUAAUGCAUUACCAGUUGACAGCCUAUCUUAUGUGUACUCUGUUUACAUUACAGUUGUUUAUUAGUUUACUCAUUUGUUUUGCAACUUAUGAAAUGCCGGUGUAUAUAUAUUUUCAACAUUUGACAUAAUCCUGUAUGUUUUGUUGGGACAACCCAUGACGUGCAUUUCUCAGCACCCAGUCAACUGCCAGAAGUGACUCGAACACAGGCCACCAGUGGCACUCGGCUGUACCACUGCAGUGCUGCGGAAAUUGCCAGCACCAGCGGCUUUGCAACAGCUGUUUCACAGCAUGUCGGAGACAAUGCCUACGAAAUUAUUGGCCCUGAUGACGAGAGCCCUCAAGGGGCAAACGACAUCUCUGUUGCAGAAGUGAGCCCGAUACCACCUGAAGUUACCAUGACAGGUGGCACGGCAGCAAUAGAUACAGAGACGGCCAUGUCUACUGCAGCUGCAACAGUGUACGAGGCAAGCAGCAGUGUGUCAGCAUCAGCAGCAGUGUCAGAAGGAACCGCACCAGGCCUGGUAGAGCAACAUGUGUGCUAUCACUGUGACUUUUUUUGUAGUGCAUUUGCUCAACAUACAAAAGCUUUUCACCAUGA